UAAAACUUGCCCUUAUGAGAAGUGUCCCUAUCUAGCAACAGCAACAGCAACCACUCCUCAAUGGGAAGGAGAUUAGGAAUUCUGACGAGUUAAGAGCGAUAGGUGUGAAGGAUGACGAUUUGCUUGUGAUGGUCCGCUCUGGUGUUGGCAGUGGCGGCGGUGGUGCUGCUAGCUGUCUUGUUGAUGAAGAACUCUCUAAGAAAGUUAAGGUUGGGCAUUUACUGAUUCUGUUCUACAUAGAUUGGUACCUCUUUGGGUAGGUACUAGAGGAUUAGAAUUUACUUGGGAUUACAUUCUACAGGGCCUAGAGGCUAAUACAAAUUUGGUACGUUAUUUCUCUUAAUGCUAUAACU